rnacentral:rRNA from 1 species
CCAAGGAGUCUAACAUGUGCGCGAGUCAAUGGGGAUCUCUCGAGACCCACGGGCGCAAUGAAAGUGAAGGUGGCGGCUUGUCCUCACCGAGGCGGGAUCCGUCCGGACGGUGGGCGGGGGCGUCGCGUUUCGGCGAGGCGUCCUUUAGCUCCCGGGGGGUUGUUUACUCUGACCCCCUUCUUAACCAAAGAAUCCGGCGGCGCACCGCCGGCCCGUCGCAAACGCAACGCCGUUGCGGCGGAGCAAGAGCGUACACGUUGGGACCCGAAAGAUGGUGAUCUAUGCCCGGGCAGGACGAAGCCAGAGGAAACUCUGGUGGAGGUCCGUAGCGAUUCUGACGUGCAAAUCGAUCGUCGGACCUGGGUAUAGGGGCGAAAGACUAAUCGAACCGUCUANNNNNNNNNNNNNNNNNNNNNNNNNNNNNUCCGAAGUUUCCCUCAGGAUAGCUGGCGCUCGGAACGGAACGCAGUCUCAUCCGGUAAAGCGAAUGAUUAGAGGCCUUGGGGCCGAAACGACCUCAACCUAUUCUCAAACUUUAAAUGGGUGAGAAGUCCGGCUUGCUCGACUACUGAAGCCCGGACGUUUUGUCUCUCUCGCGGGAGACAAAUACACGGAUGCGAGUGCCAAGUGGGCCACUUUUGGUAAGCAGAACUGGCGCUGUGGGAUGAACCAAACGCCGGGUUAAGGCGCCGAAUGCGGACGCUCAUCAGACCCCAUGAAAGGUGUUGGUUGCUAUAGACAG